UACGUAGGGGGCAAGCGUUGUCCGGAUUUAUUGGGCGUAAAGAGCGUGUAGGCGGCUUAGAAAGUCAGGUGUGAAACCUCCAGGCUCAACCUGGAGACGCCACUUGAUACUUCUAUGGCUUGAGUUCGGUAGGGGUAAGCGGAAUUCCUGGUGUAGCGGUGAAAUGCGCAGAUAUCAGGAGGAACACCGAUGGCGAAGGCAGCUUACUGGGCCGAUACUGACGCUGAGGAGCGAAAGCGUGGGGAGCGAACAGG
rnacentral:rRNA from 1 species